UACGGAGGGGGCAAGCGUUGUUCGGAAUUACUGGGCGUAAAGGGCGCGCAGGCGGCUGCUCAAGUCAGGCGUGAAAGGCCUGGGCUCAACCCGGGAAUUGCGCUUGAGACUGGGCUGGCUUGAGUGCGGGAGAGGAUGGUGGAAUUCCCGGUGUAGCGGUGAAAUGCGCAGAUAUCGGGAGGAACACCGGUGGCGAAGGCGGUUCUCUGGGCCUGUACUGACGCUGAGGAGCGAAAGCGUGGGGAGCGAACAGG
rnacentral:rRNA from 1 species